AGUGAACGCUGGCGGUAGGCCUAGCACAUGCAAGUCGAACGGCAGCACAGGAGAGCUUGCUCUCUGGGUGGCGAGUGGCGGACGGGUGAGGAAUACAUCGGAAUCUACUCUGUCGUGGGGGAUAACGUAGGGAAACUUACGCUAAUACCGCAUACGACCUACGGGUGAAAGCAGGGGAUCUUCGGACCUUGCGCGAUUGAAUGAGCCGAUGUCGGAUUAGCUAGUUGGCGGGGUAAAGGCCCAUCAAGGCGACGAUCCGUAGCUGGUCUGAGAGGAUGAUCAGCCACACUGGAACUGAGACACGGUCCAGACUCCUACGGGAGGCAGCAGUGGGGAAUAUUGGACAAUGGGCGCAAGCCUGAUCCAGCCAUACCGCGUGGGGGAAGAAGGCCUUCGGGUUGUAAAGCCCUUUUGUUGGGAAAGAAUUCCAGCUGGCUAAUACCCGGUUGGGAUGACGGUACCCAAAGAAUAAGCACCGGCUAACUUCGUGCCAGCCGCCGCCGUAA
rnacentral:rRNA from 1 species